UUGGAGGGCAAGUCUGGUGCCAGCAGCCGCGGUAAUUCCAGCUCCAAUAGCGUAUAUUAAAGUUGUUGCAGUUAAAAAGCUCGUAGUUGAAUUUCGGGAUUCAUCCGUUGGUCGGGCUUCACGGUCCGUACUGGUGUGAUGGGUUCCUACCCUCUGAAUAACCGGCAUGCCAUUAAUUUGGUGCGCCGGGGAAGCAGAACUAUUACCUUGAAAAAAUUAGAGUGCUUAAAGCAGGCAAGUGCCUGAAUAGGUUAGCAUGGAAUAAUAAAAUAGGACGGCAUGGUUCUAUUUUGUUGGUUUCUAGGAUCACCGUAAUGAUUAAUAGGGAUAGUUGGGGGCAUUAGUAUUCAAUUGUCAGAGGUGAAAUUCUUGGAUUUAUUGAAGACUAACUUCUGCGAAAGCAUUUGCCAAGGAUGUUUUCAUUAAUCAAGAACGAAAGUUAGGGGAUCGAAGACGAUCAGAUACCGUCGUAGUCUUAACCAUAAACUAUGCCGACUAGGGAUCGGACGAUGUUAAUUUUUUAAUGACUCGUUCGGCGCCUUACGGGAAAC
rnacentral:rRNA from 1 species